rnacentral:rRNA from 1 species
UAUCAAUAAGCGGAGGAAAAGAAACCAACAGGGAUUGCCCCAGUAACGGCGAGUGAAGCGGCAACAGCUCAAAUUUGAAAUCUGGCACCCGCGCGGGGCCCGAGUUGUAAUUUGCAGAGGAUGCUUCUGGCGCGGCGCCUUCCGAGUUCCCUGGAACGGGACGCCACAGAGGGUGAGAGCCCCGUCCGGUCGGACGCCCAGCCUCCGUGAAGCUCCUUCGACGAGUCGAGUAGUUUGGGAAUGCUGCUCUAAAUGGGAGGUAUAUGUCUUCUAAAGCUAAAUACCGGCCAGAGACCGAUGGCGCACAAGUAGAGUGAUCGAAAGAUGAAAAGCACUUUGAAAAGAGGGUUAAACAGUACGUGAAAUUGUUGAAAGGGAAGCGCUCGUGACCAGACUCGGGCUCGGCGAAUCACCCGGCGCUCCGCGCCGGUGCACUUCGCCGCGCCCGGGCCAGCAUCAGCUCGCCGCGGGGGACAAAGGCGCCGGGAACGUGGCUCCCCCGGGAGUGUUAUAGCCCGGCGCGCAAUGCCCCGCGGCGAACUGAGGUUCGCGCGUCCGCAAGGAUGCUGGCGUAAUGGUCACCAGUGACCCGUCUUGAAACACGGACCAAGGAGUCGUCCUCGUAUGCGAGUGUUCGGGUGUCAAACCCCUACGCGCAAUGAAAGUGAACGCAGGUGAGAGCCCCUCACGGGGCGCAUCAUCGACCGAUCCUGAUGUUCUCGGAUGGAUUUGAGUAAGAGCAUACGGGGCCGGACCCGAAAGAAGGUGAACUAUGCCUGUGUAGGGUGAAGCCAGAGGAAACUCUGGUGGAGGCUAGCAGCGGUUCUGACGUGCAAAUCGAUCGUCAAACAUGGGCAUGGGGGCGAAAGACUAAUCGAACCUUCUAGUAGCUGGUUUC